rnacentral:lncRNA from 12 species
CCCAGGAUCAAGUCCUACAUCGGGCUCCCUGCAUGGAGCCUGCUUCUCUCUCUGCCUGUGUCUCUGCCUCUCUGUGUCUCUCAUGAAUAAAUAAAUAAAAUCUUUUAAAAAAAAUUCCUUCAACGAAAAACUUUAUAUUUAAACCACAGUAAAUGUUGCAUACUACUAAAAAUUUUAUUUCUUUUACUCAGGAAAUGGAUCAAGAGAUUUAGGAUGAUUAUUUCAAGGGACAAAAUCAUAAUGAGUUUAGUUAUUGGUUGUGAUCUUAAUUUUCUUGUCUGAAACAAUGAUGAUGAUGAUGAUGAUACCUACUUCUGGAUGUUGUAACUCCAUCCAUUAAAUGGUGAUACUAAUGAAGCCUACGUCAUAGAAUUGUAAGUAGUAGUGGGUUAAGACACAUAAAGUGUUUAAGUCGUACUUGGGAUGUUUCAAUGUUUUAACUGGUUUUGAAAGAUUGUUUUUUUUUAGCAGUGUAUUAUUUGUUAAUACUAUAAAACAUUUCUGGGC